AACGAACGCUGGCGGCGUGGAUAAGACAUGCAAGUCGAACGAGAGAAUUGCUAGCUUGCUAAUAAUUCUCUAGUGGCGCACGGGUGAGUAACACGUGAGUAACCUGCCCCCGAGAGCGGGAUAGCCCUGGGAAACUGGGAUUAAUACCGCAUAGUAUCGAAAGAUUAAAGCAGCAAUGCGCUUGGGGAUGGGCUCGCGGCCUAUUAGUUAGUUGGUGAGGUAACGGCUCACCAAGGCGAUGACGGGUAGCCGGUCUGAGAGGAUGUCCGGCCACACUGGAACUGAGACACGGUCCAGACACCUACGGGUGGCAGCAGUCGAGAAUCAUUCACAAUGGGGGAAACCCUGAUGGUGUGACGCCGCGUGGGGGAAUGAAGGUCUUCGGAUUGUAAACCCCUGUCAUGUGGGAGCAAAUUAAAAAGAUAGUACCACAAGAGGAAGAGACGGCUAACUCUGUGCCAGCAGCCGCGGUAAUACAGAGGUCUCAAGCGCUGUUCGGAAUCACUGGGCGUAAAGCGUGCGUAGGCUGUUUCGUAAGUCGUGUGUGAAAGGCGCGGGCUCAACCCGCGGACGGCACAUGAUACUGCGAGACUAGAGUAAUGGAGGGGGAACCGGAAUUCUCGGUGUAGCAGUGAAAUGCGUAGAUAUCGAGAGGAACACUCGUGGCGAAGGCGGGUUCCUGGACAUUAACUGACGCUGAGGCACGAAGGCCAGGGGAGCGAAAGGGAUUAGAUACCCCUGUAGUCCUGGCAGUAAACGGUGCACGCUUGGUGUGCGGGGAAUCGACCCCCUGCGUGCCGGAGCUAACGCGUUAAGCGUGCCGCCUGGGGAGUACGGUCGCAAGAUUAAAACUCAAAGAAAUUGACGGGGACCCGCACAAGCGGUGGAGUAUGUGGCUUAAUUCGAUGCAACGCGAAGAACCUUACCUGGGCUUGACAUGUAAUGAACAACAUGUGAAAGCAUGCGACUCUUCGGAGGCGUUACACAGGUGCUGCAUGGCCGUCGUCAGCUCGUGUCGUGAGAUGUUUGGUUAAGUCCAGCAACGAGCGCAACCCCUGUUGCCAGUUACCAGCACGUGAAGGUGGGGACUCUGGCGAGACUGCCCAGAUCAACUGGGAGGAAGGUGGGGACGACGUCAGGUCAGUAUGGCCCUUAUGCCCAGGGCUGCACACGUACUACAAUGCCCAGUACAGAGGGGGCCGAAGCCGCGAGGCGGAGGAAAUCCUGAAAACUGGGCCCAGUUCGGACUGGAGUCUGCAACCCGACCCCACGAAGCUGGAUUCGCUAGUAAUCGCGCAUCAGCCACGGCGCGGUGAAUACGUUCCCGGGC
rnacentral:rRNA from 1 species